AUCAAAAAGCCUCCUCUUCGGGUCAAAAUGAUUCUAAUAACAUAACUGGGGACCACCACAGUGUAUAAAGGUCUAUCAUCCUCAGAAUGUAGACUUCCACAGUGGGCAACAUAUAUGCUGCUACAAUUUUCAAAGCAUCCUCCAAACAAGUAGGGGUAUCUUGUUUAAGAAUGUAUUUUGCUAGUCUCUGCAAGAAGAGAACAAAUAUGGACACUAGUUUGUUGAUGUACAGGAUAACAAAGGAAUUAAUUUACACA